UGACCCGAUCUUUCCAUACCGCAUGCAGUAUUAUGAGCAGCCAUUCCUGCAAUUUACUGGACCAACGUUUAAUAGACACUAGAAUUGGGUAGGGGCCGCGCGUACGCGUACCCCCUCUGCCACAAAUUAUGACGUCCACUCUCCCACUUGGGGAGAUGGUAAGCCAGUGCACCUCCCAAGUGCAAUGGAGGCCACUGGCCUAGGCCAUGAGCCUUUUUGAUCGCCCAUCGACCCCGUCCAGGUAAGUAUGUUUCGAAGGUAGCGAGGAUCGCCUUUUAAGCACCUCCACCUGCAUUUCCUGUUCCAAACCUACCGAUGUGGGACUAAAAUGCUACAUAUCCUCAAUAGCUCCAAACGUAAGCAUAAUUAAUAACGAUGUUUGCUUAACCCAAAUGAACUCAUAGAACACAUCUAAAACGUGAGUCGAAUGAUGGUGACAUGACAGAAAAGAUAUUUGUAUAAACUGUAUCAGCUGAUACUUGUUUUCAUUGGCCUGUGACCUUCUUCUCCUUCCGCGGAAGUGGGAAGAACGUGCACCUCGAUCUUGUUUUCUUCCUGUUUGGAUUCCCAGUAAUUGCUGCUCGGUGUCAAGUCAGCAUUGUUUCAGUCUUUGAUUAUGCGUUUAACCUCCUCUUCUUUUUGUUCUCCUUGUAUCUCUUAUGCUGGAAGGAGAACUCAAGAGGAAAAUAGACUGACAGACGUUUGUGCAUGCCUGUUGGUAGGUCAGCAGCACACGCAAGAUUGUGAUCAUACCGUGUUGGCUCACCUAAAUAUGGUGCCAUGGCCGCUGCCCUCCUUGCAAUCCCAAAUGCCAAAUGCCACCUGCACCCAACAUCUCACCGGUCCCCGGAGAAUUUGAGAGUCCUUCCCUGAGCUGAAGGACUUUGUGAAGUAAUGCUUGGCAUAUAUAAUAAAGGAACAUCAAUGUAGAGCUGCUGCAUUGUUUAUAGAUGUUCUUAUAUUUAGUCUACAGCAGCAGUGCUGAUCUUAGGACUUGGAGGACUCUCUUAAAACACUAAUGAUAACAGGGAGAACACAGAAAGAAACACUUCCAAUAACAGCAAGCAUUAUCCAAUCCAAUGUAAAUUGUGUGUUUAUUAUCAUCACCUUAGAAGUUGUGUGAAUUCCGGUAAAAAAAAUUAAGCAACAAAAUCAAGAUUAAAAGGGAUGAGAAUGAAAACGGCUUCCCAUCUGAACCAUGCAACAUUACUUGCAGACAGCACAAACUCAGUUGGGCCUUGGAGUAGCCCAUUCAACACGAAGGAUAAGGUUGUCGUAGCCAUAGCCAUUAAGCUUGUUGAUAGCUCUCUCGGCAUCUUCCCUGUUGAAGAAGUUGACGAAACCAAAGCCUCGACUGACUCCAGUCUUCUGAUCCAUAGCGACAUAGAUACGAGCAAUGGGGCCAAAAGCAUCGACAAGCUCCAACAGGUCAGGCUCUCGGGUGUCCUCUGAUAGGUUGGUGAUGCGGACAGAGUUCUCGUCGUUGCGGUGCUUCAUCUCAGUCCCACUCCUCACUGCACCUGCUCUCAUACUAGGUGGCACAUAGGUACUCUUUCCGGUGCCAGAUUGUGAAGCUGCAGUUUCGGCACCUGGGGGGUUGUCGAUUAAGCUCUCUGUUGGUGGAGCGAGAUCCUUGUAAGGACACUUCGCUGUCCAGUGAUCACCUUUCUUACCACAAGUCCGGCAGACCAUGAGGACAGCGCCUGAUUUGCUCACAGCAGCUAAUGGAUCCUCAGCCACCUGUGGCUCCUCUGCUUUGCUGCCUAUUAAACAUUUGAGAUUGACGGAUAUUAAGCGAUAGCAAGAUAUAACUAGAAAGAAAACAGGAAUGAGAAAUUAGAUUCAAAAGAAACUUUGAUUGUUUGCCUAUCAAAUAAUGUGUGUCCAUAUAUAUAAUAAAAAAUCAAGUUAACACUUCUUUUACUAAGGCACAAUAAAUAAAUUUUACUACAUUUAUUUAAUAAGAACUUUUUUUUCCCGAAGUUAUCAAUUCAGUAUCAUUUAUUUAUGAUGAUCUCGCAGAGGAUGCAGCUCAUGAACUUAAAUAAGCAUAACACCAAAGAUAAAGAUAUAUGCUGCUUUGAGAGUCUACAGCAUCAACCUCAAAUAACAGAAAACUACUGGGAUGCAAACAUCACCAAGUGACCUAUUUUAUUCGGGAAAAGGAAAAAGUAAAGAACAUUAGUAUGAUAUAUGAAUGACAUUCCCUUUCAAUAACAGAGAUGGAGAUCAUAUGAUCCUGAGACACCCUCACACCUUAACAUGCAUUACCUUGUCGCCUCCAGUAACAAGCCCUAGUUGAAUUAUGAAGAACAAAUAUACUUUCGAUCAUCAUACAUCCCAAAAAAUACUCUUCUACCUGCCUGAGAAAACAACCAAUUUGUGCAAUCCACUACAAGUGUACACCUCGAUUGUGCAUGUACUUGCCAAAGAUAUGCAGCAAAGUUGUGUUAUAUUUAGUAUCAAUGAGUUAUCUCAUGGCACUGAAAGAUAAGGUAACGUUAAUAGAAUUAUCUAAACCAUAAAUUGCAGCAAGUCACAUCACAGAGAACUGCAGGGCUCUGGUUUCAUUGAGACCUUUGCUGAAAUAUGAAUAACUUAAAGAGUAUCGUGUGUACUUCUCAUAAUCAUAAGAAUAACAAACUUCCUUGACACAAGUUAUCCCAUUUUGUGCUCAAUCAUUAGAAUUUCAAAGGCGCUUCAAUAAAAUCAACAAGACUACUAAUAAAGUGCAUUCACCAUUCCAAAAGCAGCCAACUCUUCAAGCACAAUCUAUCCCAUCUUUAUCUUUAAUCAGUAAAGGGAAAAGUCCCAUAAUCAAAGUCAACAGGACUAGUAACGACAACACCAACUUCUCAAAGAUAAUUUCCUGUCUUGGCAUUAAUACAACAACAAAACCGUAAGUCCCAACAACUUGGUACCAGCUACAAGGAUCUUUUGCUACCAUUGAGAUAUGUAAAAAGUCAUAUAUUUAGUUAAGUUUAGAGUAUUUACAUCUUUAUUUAUAGUUUCUAUUAAAAUCCUUUUAAGUCUUCCUCUAUCUUUUCUCAUAUCAAUAACAUUAAUUAUUUCAUUUUUUCUAACUACCGUAUCCGGAAAUCUCCUCAGGACAUGCCCAUACCAUCUUAAACGAUUUUCUCUCAUUUUAUUCCCUAUCGAAGAGAUACCUUGUUCAUGAAUAAAAAUAUUCAUAUCAACAUUCUCAUCUCGACAAUACAAACUUUUUGUAUAUGUUUUUUCUUAACUGCCCAACACUCAAAUCUAUAAAAUAUUGUUGGUCUCAUAACUAACUUAUAUUUUCUUUUUUAAUCUCAAAGGUAUUCGAUAAUCACACAAGACUUUUGAUGUCACUCGUCAUUUUUAACUAUCCUGUUUUUUUUUAAUAAUAUCUUCAUCGAUCUCUUCAUCUUGUUGAAUAAUUAAUCCAGGAUACCUAAAGCUUUUCCUUAAAUAGACUUCUUGUCCAUCCAAUUUAAAUAUAUUCACUUGCCCAUUUCUAAAAUCACUAAAAUUAUUUUUUAUAUAUUCAGUUUUAAUCUUACUUAAUAUGAAACAUUUAGUAUUCAAGGUUUGGCUCUAUAGCUCAAGUUUUUAAUUAAUUUCACUUAAGUUCUCAUCAACUAAGAUAAUAUCAUAAGCAAAUAACAUAUACCAGGGAGGAGAGAUCUAUCAUGUAAACGACUAAUAAGUUCAUCUAUUAUUUAUGUGAAAAGAUAGGGAAUUAAUGUGGAUCCUUGAUGUAAUCAUAUGCUAAUAGGAAACUUAUUAGACACAUUCUCUCUAGUUCUAAUACUAGUAGCUACAUUAUUAUAUAUAUCUUUAAUAACAUCAAUAUAAUUUGUCUUGACAUUAAUAAAAGGUGAUUUAAACAUGUAUUCUAGAAUACAUCAAAGUUAACAAGAUUAGUAAUGUCUUCUCGUAAUGUUCACCGACUUUCUCAAGAUAAUUUGUCCAGUAAUUGUGCUCAGUAAUCAUCUUCCAUAACAUUAAUAUAAAGUAAUUUAAACAUGUACUCUAUAAUACAUGAAGACAAAAACAUAAAACUUUCUAGUUAUUCAAUCGAGUUUUGUAGUGAGAGCAUCACUCCAAAAUUGAAUCUAGUUUAGUUAGAUUUCUUUAGGGUCGUGCCGAGUUACACUUUUAGAUAUUCUUGUCCAAGCACACUAUAUCUAGAGGUUCUUAGGCUUUCGAGGGACUCUCAAUUUGAUAAGAUUUAUUAGAAUUUAAUUUUUUUUCCUUUUUAGUUAUCUUAGAAGUUAUGUAAACUUCAUUAUAGAUAAGUGUUUUAUGCAUAAAGUGUUAAUUUUUAAGUCAAUAAGAAUAUUUGAGUUAUCUUUGAGGCUGUGUGGUUUUGGUUAUUUCUCUUAUCCAUCUUGAUUAUAACCUCUAUCUUCCCAAUCAAAUUUCUUUAUGCCAUCUCUCUCUCUUAUAGCUGGAUGGUAGUUGUAGCCUAUCAACUUUAUGUUAAUUGUAUUGCUUGGAAGCCCCUCUUCCCUACCAAAGUCUUCUGCCUCCUUCAUCCCAUUAUUCUAUACAAUAAUUCUUUCUGCCAUGCUUGCAUCAAUUUGGUACCAGAGUCGUGCAUACAUCAAUUUGGUAUCAAAUGGUGCAUGCACCAGUUUGGCAUCAAAGUUGUGCAUGCAACAGUCUGGCAUCAAAUAUGUACAUGCAUCAAUUUAGUUUGGCAUCAAGGUCAUGCGUGCAUCAAUUUAGUUUAGCAUCAAAGUCAUGCAUGCAUCAUCACAGUCGGUAGCCACCAUGUUCUACCAUGAUGGCCAAUCCUACACUAUCAACUAAUAUCAAUCAAGCAACUAAAGUGAUUCUUCAUCCAAUCUGGGAGUGUACAUGAAUCAUUGCGUUUCAGUGUCCAUCAGGAUUGGUUUGUUGACCUAGUUGAAAAGCACUCAAAUCAUAAUCUCCAAUUUAUGAGACUUAGUGAGAUAGAACUCGCAACAACAAAUCGAUCUUGAGAUGGGAUUUGCACAAUGGCAGCUAUGGCACUCAUCUUCACGCACACAAAAAAUAUACCUCUCAAUGACCCAAAUGUGUUUUCUCUUCCAACUCACGAUUCCUACUAACCUUUUUCUAGGUAGAUAACUUAUUUCUCCUCAUUUACCUUCCAUAUUGAUAUCAUGUCAAAUGUUCCCCCACUCAGAGCCGAAAAGAUAUGGAUUUCCACCACGGAUCCAGGAAAUAGCAAACUCCCUUUGCAGCACAGAUAUAUUCCAACGAAAAAACAUAUAUGGUAGAUUGACUCACCACUGAUCUUCUUCUCUUCUUCGGUAAGAAAAAUUAGGGCAAACAAAACCGAUCUGACUCGAAGUGAUCGGUUCAAAUUAAUUAAAUCAAAACCCUAAAACGAGGAGUCCCAGAGCGAUUAUAGAGAAGAGAAGAAGGAAGUAAAGGAUCGAACCAGCGACUCGGGGGCGCUCGAGGAGGAUCUCCUCGGUGGAGACCAUGGUGAAGCGAGCGCCGGCGUCCUCGUAUUCGGCGUCGCCAAACUUGGGCCAGGACCGGCGCUCGAUGGCGCGCUUGCUGAGUCGGGCGCCGGUGAGCUUGCGGGCGCGGGUGGUGGUGGUGACGCGCACCUUGUUGCCCUCGUCGUCGAACCGGUACUCGAUCACUUUCUUCGCUCCGUUCUCGUCGGGCCCUACGACCACCAGCGGCUGAGGGAGGAAGUCCAGAUCCCCCGCGUCGUCCUCCAGCUCCCCCCACCGUAUCUUCCCCAUGCCGACCGUCACCCUCGACUCCCCGCUCACUCUCGCAACAAAGUGCGUGCACAUACAUCACAUAUAUAUGGAUUGCCCAUUCGGCGUCCCGAAUCGCGAUCAAGACCCAGUGUUAGAAAUGUUGACUUGGUUGACCACAACUACGUCGAAGUAAUGGGCCGAGCCUUUUAAAUGGGCUUAACGUCGAACCCAGAGAGGCCCUUUAAAAUCUUACCCGUUGUCCGUGAGUUGGGCCUUGAAGCCCACAUAACUCAAUAUGCAAUCUGGUCUCAUCGGAUGCAGUGAUUUGAAGGCACUCCACGAUAAACUCGAGUAAUUGUUAUUUUGGAUUGAAAGAUUUAUGAAUCCCAAAGACAUCAAUUUCUUCAGUGAGUAGUAAUCUCAAGUUUUCUCUUUGAAUAUUCAAAACCUGGAGAAAAUUAAUUUGAACCACCAUGGCUUCAAUAUUAACAUAAAUCACGAAUGUGAGGUUUGGAGAGGAUCAAUGGAUGCAGUUUUACCUCUACAAAUGUAUUAAGCAAUCGAGAUCGGCUCAGGACCUCAAUCAUUUAAGCUUGGUGGCUGGGUUGUUGAACCCUCUCACGUUUCAUCUUCAACCUUACGCUGCAAUGUCAACCUUAGGUUCUGUUCUUUCCACUAAACCAUGUUGUAAUACGUCGAUGUUUUCAGUCAGCAGAAGAAAAGACCCUUCAAAAAACAGUCAUUCCAUAUUGUUUAUGAUGCACUACAAAGUGAGAUCGUGGGAAGAGCAGUAGGAUUGUCUUCAACGCAAAGAAUUUGAGUUCAAUGGAGGUCGUUCUUCACCACUUGAAUAAAAAUUUUGGUUGCAUAGUUACAAGAUCCAUUAAACUAAUCAGAUUUAUCAGCUUGGAGACUUGUCGAGGAUCGUAAUGAAAGAUUCUUGCAGCAUAAUCUAUAUGUUGUGGACCUCCUCGUCUUCUGAUUGUUUCUGCACCUGCCCCACAAUCCUCAUAGCGACAAUGACACGGCCGAGUUACGUACGAUGCAGUCAACAAAAGACACCCCAAAAAAUAAUGCACUCGAAAGUGAUUGCUACCAUUUUGAUGGGUAGCUCAAUGGGAGUGCAGAGUUAAUUUUCGUCAAGUGAUGAUGUAGAGAAAUAAACUGCGGGAGAUGUUAAACAUACCAUGCAGACAUAUCAAUUGACCCCUACAAAGGCAAUGGAGUGGAUCGUUUUCCUUCUUCAUUUGAUUGCAUGGUACUUCAAAAGCUCCAAGAUAGUGCAGACAACAUAAUUUGUCUCCAAGAUUUGUCUUUCUAAAUCAUAAGGAGGAGGAGAUCUGGUUCAGAAAGAAAUCUCUGAGAUGAAAGGAUUAAAUGGGGUUACAUAAAAAUGACUUCCUGUUUUAGAGGUUUAGCAUCUCAACAUGUUCUUAACCUAAUAUUUUCUUGAUUUCUCUCAGGAAAUGUGCGAGUGGUCUGAAUGGAGAGAACUGUUCUAUGGAUAAGAAGUAGUGAAGUUUAUCCUCGGAGAGUUCAAAGGAGAUAGUUUGCUUGAGCACAUUAUGAGGAACAAGUGGAGAAGAGCCUCAAGAAAAACAAAUACUGGAUUGUUGAUCAACUACUGAUCAUGAUGUAAGAUGAACAGUCCCUGAAUCCAUUAUUCAAAAUCUUCCCACAUGAUUUUUUAUACCACAUGAUAAAAACUUGCUUUCCACCACAAAAAUCUUACUGCAUCAGCACUUUAUACCACAUGAUAAAACCUCUCAUGUCAGACAAAUUAUUGCAGAAAUGGUCACUCAUUCAUCAAGAGUGCAUCCAAAAUCCAGUAGGGGAAGAAUGGAAACACAAGUAUCUGGUGUCAUCCACCGAGGCACUCAAUGCUUUGAGCUGUUCUUGAUUCCAGUCCAACUGGAUCACAAGAAAAAUUAAAAAUUCCAACCAACAAUUAUGUACCUUAAAUCCUAGUUUUGUAGCCGAUCUCUGCCUGUGGGUUCCUUGCAGGACAACCAUCGUUACUGGCUGGCUACUCUGCAAAAGAGAAGAUUAUACGGUCGCCUAACAUUCAGUAACGAGUCCCUCGAUGAGAUCAUUAUGGAUCAUUAAGAGUCUCCGCACACAGGAAUAUCGUUGAGAUAAAUGAAAGGAAGAUCACAUAUCUCCAGCACACAUACAUAUGCCGAAUUCAUGCGCCAUAAACACGUAUCGUAGAUCGUUAAACAGUCGAGUUUACAGUCCCAUGGUAAUUCAAUUUUCAAGUUUAAUCAGCUCUAUUAUUUCUGCAUUCAUAUCUUGCACUUGCUCUCAAUAAUUAGCAGUAGUAACUUUCGUCUCAAAAUGCGUUCAGCGAGAAGUGCCAAACCAAGAACAAGGCCAUUGUGAACUUUCUUUGAAGAAAAUGUCUUAAAAGGAAGAGAGAGAGAGAGAGAGAGAGAGUCAGGACAAAGGUAACCAUCCGUCCCCUUCUGAGGAUGAGCUUGCAAGUAGACCGGAGGGCCUCACCAUCCAUUGUUAAUUCGUCUUCUCAAAUGGAAUUUGGAGAUCGUUCACUUAUAUUUCAUCUGUCUUACAGAAGCAGCAAACUAAACAGCUUCAGUAUCAGCCCUAUCACUGUCACCAAAGCAAUGGUUUCUUAGUGAAAUGAUGUUUGUUUGGUGAGGCAUUUGUCACCUGUUGAUACAGUCAAGAAGUAAUUGUUUCGCACUGGUUAUCACAUGCUGACAGAGAUAUACAGCAAUAGAAAAUGAUGACACUAAGAAGCAGAUAACAUAUUCUCUAACGACAACCUUUCAUGAUAAACUUAGUUGACCGGUCAUUGACCUAAUCUGGAAGAAGCAAAUGCAGACCCCAACCAACCUCAUGCGGUACAAGGAAGCUUUGAUCCAAGUAAUGGUCCAGAAGCGCAAACCGAUGCUUGUUAAUCAAGGUCAUUUGAUACGCAUUUCUUUUCCGUAGUCCAAAAGAGCAGUAAAGUAGAGACUGGACUAUUAUUGAUGUAGUAGGUUUCUGAGAAGAUAACGAAGAAUAGUUGUUGUUUUUUGAGACUCUUAAUUGUUGUUGAUUUUUGUACGCUUGAAUAGGGAGAAUUCAACCUUGAAUUACAAUUACAAUGAGUAAAACACUCGUCGAGUCGCUGGUGAUGGUGGUGGAGAACAAACUCCACAGAUGAAAUCAGAAGCGUCUUGACAAAGAAAAGGGCUUAGAACCUACCUUGAGGAGACUUUGCAGGCUUGCAUCGCUCCCAUAGAUUCUCAUGCACCUUUCUUACCUACAACCAUAUUCCACCUUUUGCAAGCUCUUCCAUGGAAGCACCCGUGCAUAGCCGCUGAGUCGUCGGUGUCUACAUAAGCUCUUCAUCCAGGAAGAAGAGCGAUGGAGCAGGCAAGAUAUUGGAUGCGGAUGACGAGCGGGCCUCGCCUCAGCACUCAGAUCCCCGGGCUCAUCGUUGGAUCCGCCUGCAACGAGUCAUGGGAGGAGAAGGCCUUCGCUGAAGACACCGCAGGCCACUUAGGAGGCUGCGUAUGGCCGCCGAGAUCUUAUUCGUGUAGCUUCUGCAGACGAGAAUUCCGAUCGGCCCAAGCUCUCGGCGGGCACAUGAACGUGCACCGAAGGGAUCGAGCCAAGCUCAGGGAAUCUGCGAGCCUCAGCGAGGAAGCCGCAGAAGAACAACGUCAACCGCAGGUUAGCCCCUUAGCACUCGGUGCUGCUGCUAACCCUAACCCUAGUUCUGGUGUUCUAGCAUCACCCGUGUCUCCUAGGGUUCCUGCUCCAGUCACCACCAGAAGGAUUUGGAUCGAGGACACCCUGUUCUCUCCUUCCCUUUCUUCAUCUACCAUUCGGGAGGACGUAAAGGAGUACUCGCUUCUUUCCACGACUACGCCUCUGGAUCUACUACUUGUGCCGGAACUAAAGCUUAGGGCAGAGGAUUUGGGGUCCAAGGAGUUUGGUCUCCGGAGAUGGAGAGACAUACAAGUCUGUGACGAGGAGGCCAACCGUAAGAAGAGAAGGAGAUGUGAUCAUCCAACGCCUGCUUUCUUCUUGAGAGCCUCUUCAGCAGAGCAGCAACAAGAUCGAUUUGAGGUUCUUAAUCCUAUCACAGUCGAAGACUUGGAUCUUGAACUUAGGCUUGGAGAUGCCCCUCUCAAAAUUAAGUAGGAAUUCAGAUCCUUUUGUUGUGUUCUUAAAUAUCUCAAAUCUGAAUCAUUUUUCUUGUGGAAAAUUGCCUGUUCCAUCAUCAAACCGAUGGUUUGAUGAUUGCUUGCAAUGGUCUUAACGAUUGUCUGCAAGAAGACACCACCAAAGCGCUCGAAAUGAUCCUUGAAUACCUGAUGAUAACAUCAUUUAUAAUACAUAAUCCUUUUAUUUUUUUCUUGAGAAAGGCCUGCAAUAGAAGAAUUACAAGAAAAUGUCAUUGGUUGUUGUUUUGAGAAAGAUCUACAUUAGCAUAAUAAGAAUUUUAUAUCCUAGUCUUAAUGCAGAUUGACUAAAUUGUGUACAUGCACAUAUUCGCUAUAUGUAUAUACUUGCACACACACAUAUAUAUUGCAUCAGAGAAGAAAGAAGAACAUAGCUUGUGAGUUGUCUACUUGUUUUGAGUGUCUUGUCACCCUAAGCACAGAGGACAAUAAAACGAAUCCUUAUCUCUGCAGGCAAUUAAGUGCAGGACAAUAAAACGGCUCCUAUUUGUUCUUCUUGAGUAUUUCUCUCUUCAGACAAGUAAAAGCUCACUGACUGACACAAUCCAGCAUUGGAAAUAAAUCUGAGUCUGUGUUAGAAUAUACAAAGUUGAAAUGCAUCAGUACACAGAUUCCCUUUGCCGAAGCAUUCCAGCGCUCGAAUCAGAUGUCUCUUCCUCAUCAACCCAUCUGUUUGCUUCUGUUCUUUUCUUCUUUCCUUUCCAAAGCUCCAAAUCCAAUAGCGCCAUGGAAUCGCAUCAUAAUUGUGUUAGUCAUUGCACGCUGAUGAUAUCACUAUCUCCAGAUAGUGAUAUCUCCACUGCUGCAACAUAAAUGGACUCCAGAAGAGACUGGGGUAGAGAUGGAGCCUUGGGGAAAAGAGUUAUAUCUACUGAUGAAUCCGAGUAAAAGAGUCAUUAAGGAGACCGGUUUUGUCCUGUUCUUCGUUGGGACAUGAAAGGCUAGCUAGUUGAGUAGGGAAGUACAGAGAGAGCGAGAGAGAGAGAGAGAGAGAGAGAGAGAGAGAGAGAGAGAGAGAGAGUGUGUGUGUGUGUGUGUGUGUGUGNNNNNNNNNNNNNNNNNNNNGAGAGAGAGAGAGAGAGAGAGAGAGAGAGAGAGAGAGAGAGUGUGUGUGUGUGUGUGUGUGUUUGUGAGCACAUGGUGGGAAGUUGUUUGUUUGUGAGGACGAGGGCUUAUACAACUCGGUGAAGGAAUGAGGACUAAUUGGGGUGUGUGAAGAGAGUACUGUUGUAUUAAUCAAGGGAGAUUAGGCAAUGCUGUGACACCUUAUAGCCUUUGUUUAGGGGAUAGAAUACUGCAACUGUGGCAUAUUAUACAUUGCAUGCCAAUGUUUUAUUAAAGGCCUGAAGAGAAUAUGGAAUCAAGUGUACUGAUGAAGCUAUUAUUAAGACAGACACGUUUUACCAACAGACACUUGUGGCAUUAAAUCUCACACUUCAGAGUAUGUGGUAGAUUCUCUGCCCCUCCUUCCCACUUAGAACAUGUUGUAAACUGUGUCUACUUUGACUCACUGGAAGACCACAUGGAAGUGCAUGCAACGUUCAGGAAAUCAAGAAGAGCCCACGCCGAGGCUGUGGCAAAGGCGAAGGCAGAGGAGGCGGCUGCUUGGUGGUGAUCUCGGCCGACGGCCCCUUGUCGGCGACCCAGAUGGUGACACCACCUUGGUGGCGGGUCCGAUGGCCUUGGCAAUGGACUCCACGUCCUAGAAUGCCGAUUCCACCGCGUUCAGCCGCUUCGACUCCUCCGGCGAAAUGAUCUGCGGACAUCAAAUUACGGCCUUCUCAACGUGCCAAGAACGAACUAGCGGGCUUAGCUUAUAGUAAUCUUAACGUGCAACCCUUACAAGUUGAGGUGAUACGGGCGAGCUCGUGGACGAUGAAUCCUUGACGACGAAGUGCUCAAGCAAUGCGAGCGCCGGCUGGGAAAUCCUCUAUUCUGCUGAGAGAAAUUCUCUCUCCUAAUCUGUAUAAAUAGGAGAGGGAUAGCUUAAUACAUUUAAGCUAAAGCUUCUUCAAUAAAGCUUAUCUUCUAUUCUCUUAUCUUCUAUUCUUUCUAUCGUGGUAUCAGAGCUUUCGCCGUAAAGGCCACUUCUAAACAUCUCGAAGUAGAUCUGUCUUCCCGUCGGACUCCACCGAAUUUCGGCUCCUUCUCCUACUGCCUCGUGGACCGCGACUCUAUCUCAAAGUAGUGUAGCGUUUUCCACAGACAUCCUCCAGGAUCGUUGCGUCGACCUCCUUUGAAGCUAAACAAGGGCCACCGGGCGCGAAAUGCCGCUAUUGUCGUCCUUGCCGCAGCAGCCCUCUCUACCGUAGUAGCAAUGAUCUGCUCUUCUCCCAAGCUACUGUCCUCUGCUUCUUCUUCUUCUGCUGCUACAGCAUUGCUAUAGCUUUCUCUAUUGCUGUAGUUUUCUCCUCUGUUGCAGUCGUCAUCGUCGUAGCCGCUGCAAUAGCAACAGCAGCAGCAACGAUCUGCUAUUGCCCUACUCACGAAGCCUCUGGCUCGUAAACUGUUUACUUUGCAUCGAUCCAAGAUUAGUAUCCUUGAGAGGAGCACCAUCUUGCGGGAAAUUCUCUCUCCCAUAUAAAUAGAAGAGAGACAUGUUAAUGCAUUCACGACUGAAACGAGGGACUUUGCAUCCGGGAUCUUGCGGAGGUCAAUGAAGAAACGAUUAGUUUUGUCUGUGGCUCCAUCUGAUUCCUUCGCUUCCUCCUCCGACGAGCCAUCGCCUAUCGGCUUCCCGAAGCUGAAGAGGUUCUGCCUGGUUUGGGCGGCGACCGUCAUCGUGAUGAGGGUAAUAAUUGCGAUAAGACUCGCGUGACAUCAGCUGCCCCAGAUGACGCCUCGCGCCUCUGUUGACCUGAUGAGGCACCCAGUCAAAGCGGACCGGAACGCCUACCAAGGCACAUUAACACCCUGCUCAGGCUUGAUCCCCCAUGUCACGCCAAUGGCAAUGUCAGACGCUACCAGAAGUACGAUCCUACUCCAUGCUGGCAGGCGCAUCAUGCAACGGUAAUUCUCACUAUAAAAACCCUCGCGCACCAAGAAGGAAGAGAGGAGGCACACAAGCAAGACACAACUUAACUAAAAAACCCCCUGCGACUAUCCACUAACUUGAUCGUCGGAGGGGUCGGGCUGAGCUCCCCGACCCGACCUUUGUGCAGGUGCGAAGCCGGAGGCCACCCACUAAACGCACAGGCGAGGAGUCCUUGCUCGGAGGGAGUAGCGACCCCGUCCCAAUCGGGACAAAGUAAUUGACCACCUCAGUAGUCUCGAGGAGCGUCUCAGGGAGAUCCCCCAUCAUCCGGACCCGAACCGAGCCACGUCGGCCCCGAGGCCACGACUU
rnacentral:lncRNA from 1 species